CCUACGGGAGGCAGCAGUGAGGAAUAUUGGUCAAUGGGCGCGAGCCUGAACCAGCCAAGUAGCGUGAAGGAUGACUGCCCUACGGGUUGUAAACUUCUUUUAUAAAGGAAUAAAGUGCGGCACGUGUGCCUUUUUGUAUGUACUUUAUGAAUAAGGAUCGGCUAACUCCGUGCCAGCAGCCGCGGUAAUACGGAGGAUGCGAGCGUUAUCCGGAUUUAUUGGGUUUAAAGGGUGCGCAGGCGGUCUGUUACGUCAGCGGUAAAAGCCCGGGGCUCAACCCCGGCCCGCCGUUGAAACUGGCAGUCUUGAGUGGGAGAGAAGUAGGCGGAAUGCGCGGUGGAGCGGUGAAAUGCAUAGAUAUCGCGCAGAACUCCGAUUGCGAAGGCAGCAUGCCGGAGCCAAACUGACGCUGAGGCACGAAAGCGUGGGUAUCGAACAGGAUUAGAUACCCUGGUAGUC
rnacentral:rRNA from 1 species